UUAGACCUACGGGGGGCAGCAGUGAGGAAUAUUGGUCAAUGGGCGGGAGCCUGAACCAGCCAAGUCGCGUGAAGGAAGAAGGUACUUAGUAUUGUAAACUUCUUUUGUCGGGGAACAAAGGCGGAGACGCGUCUCCGGAUGAGUGUACCCGAAGAAAAAGCAUCGGCUAACUCCGUGCCAGCAGCCGCGGUAAUACGGAGGAUGCGAGCGUUAUCCGGAGUUAUUGGGUUUAAAGGGUGCGCAGGCGGGAGGUCAAGGCAGCG
rnacentral:rRNA from 1 species